UAGCAUAUCAAUAAGCGGAGGAAAAGAAACCAACCGGGAUUGCCUUAGUAACGGCGAGUGAAGCGGCAAAAGCUCAAAUUUGAAAUCUGGUACCUUCGGUGCCCGAGUUGUAAUUUGGAGAGGGCAACUUUGGGGCCGUUCCUUGUCUAUGUUCCUUGGAACAGGACGUCAUAGAGGGUGAGAAUCCCGUGUGGCGAGGAGUGCGGUUCUUUGUAAAGUGCCUUCGAAGAGUCGAGUUGUUUGGGAAUGCAGCUCUAAGUGGGUGGUAAAUUCCAUCUAAAGCUAAAUAUUGGCGAGAGACCGAUAGCGAACAAGUACAGUGAUGGAAAGAUGAAAAGAACUUUGAAAAGAGAGUGAAAAAGUACGUGAAAUUGUUGAAAGGGAAGGGCAUUUGAUCAGACAUGGUGUUUUGUGCCCUCUGCUCCUUGUGGGUAGGGGAAUCUCGCAUUUCACUGGGCCAGCAUCAGUUUUGGUGGCAGGAUAAAUCCAUAGGAAUGUAGCUUGCCUCGGUAAGUAUUAUAGCCUGUGGGAAUACUGCCAGCUGGGACUGAGGACUGCGACGUAAGUCAAGGAUGCUGGCAUAAUGGUUAUAUGCCGCCCGUCUUGAAACACGGACCAAGGAGUCUAACGUCUAUGCGAGUGUUUGGGUGUAAAACCCAUACGCGUAAUGAAAGUGAACGUAGGUUGGGGCCUCGCAAGAGGUGCACAAUCGACCGAUCCUGAUGUCUUCGGAUGGAUUUGAGUAAGAGCAUAGCUGUUGGGACCCGAAAGAUGGUGAACUAUGCCUGAAUAGGGUGAAGCCAGAGGAAACUCUGGUGGAGGCUCGUAGCGGUUCUGACGUGCAAAUCGAUCGUCGAAUUUGGGUAUAGGGGCGAAAGACUAAUCGAACCAUCUAGUAGCUGGUUCUGCGA
rnacentral:rRNA from 1 species